rnacentral:lncRNA from 1 species
GUGUUGUUUGUUUGGAGACCAAAAGGGGAGAACUAGGAGGAACAAGACAGGUCAGGGGAAAGAAUUAAUUAACUAGAGGACUAAAUUAUUAAACCAAAAGUAAUGGCUAGGCUUACCUUAAUAACUUGGUUCCCAUGGUGCCCCCUACCCACGCACCCUUCUUAACACUUACUUGUCCACUCUAUGGAAACAAACAAACUACAAAAUUAGGUAACCAUGACUAUUAAUUGACCCAAUAAUCUUAAACUUCCAAAAAAAAUUUUCAAGCCAUAUGAAAAAAUGACCCUAUUUUUCUUGGAACUCAAUUUUUUUUUUUUAUAAAAAAAAUAGGCCCCUUGAAGUGAACUGGUGUUUAGACUCUACAAGGCAAUGAAGGUGGCCAUGAGAAGAAAACCUGAGAAAAAAGACUUGGCAGAAGUCUACCUGAAAAGGACAAUGAUGGUAAAAGAUUAGUAGGGGAAGAAAUUUUACUAGUAGUAGACAUUAAUUAUAUCAAGAGUGAAGAAAAAUAAUGUCAUAUGUAAACAGAUUACUACAUACAAAAUGUUUAUAUCUGAAAAUCUUGAGCUUAAACUCCUUCCAUACCAAAAGACAAAACAGUAAGAGAUAAUUAAUAAUGGAAUGUCUUGACAAAGAGAAGAGAGAGAGAGAGAUUGAAAGAGAAUUGAGGGUUUAGUUUAAAAAAAGUGUAAUAACAAGAGGGUGGUGAAGGAGAAAGGAGAAGAGAGACAAUGGAGAGAG